CGACAAAGGCAAGGAAAUUACGCCUGGGGAUCACUAAGCUGAGUACACCCGAAAUCUGAACUUUUGAAACCUGUUGGGUUAGCCUGUAGAUAGCAGACAUCGUCGAGAACUAUAGUUGGCCAUACUACUUCAAAAACUGUAGGUUUACUAUCUUUACUACUUUUGUUCAUUUGUGGGCUCACGUAGCACUGUAAAUUAAAUUUCAUACUUUGGUUU